AGCUCCAAAAGCAUAUAUUAAAGUUGUUGCAGUUAAAAAGCUCGUAGUUGGAUUUCUGGUAUUAUGCACCUGACCCGCCCCUUUGGGGUGUGCGUUGGAGCGCAUAUACCAUCUUGUCAGGGAACAGGUGUGCCCUUCAUUGGGUGUGCUUGCAAACUGGCUCGUUUACUUUGAAAAAAUUAGAGUGUUUAAAGCAGGCAAUUGCCUUGAAUACAUUAGCAUGGAAUAAUAACUUAGGACUUCGGUUCUAUUUUGUUGGUUUCUAGGACGAAGUAAUGAUUGAUAGGGACAGUUGGGGGUGCUAGUAUUGACCGGCCAGAGGUGAAAUUCUUGGAUUCGGUCAAGACUAACUUAUGCGAAAGCAUUCACCAAGGAUGUCUUCUUUA
rnacentral:rRNA from 1 species